rnacentral:rRNA from 1 species
GAUCAUGGCUCAGGAUGAACGCUAGCUACAGGCUUAACACAUGCAAGUCGAGGGGCAGCGGGAUUGAAGCUUGCUUCAAUUGCCGGCGACCGGCGCACGGGUGAGUAACGUGUAUCCAACCUUCCGUACACUCAGGGAUAGCCUUUCGAAAGUAAGACUAAUGCCCAAUGAUAUCCCACGAAGGCAUCCGAAUGGGAUUAAAGAUUUAUCGCUGAAAGAUGGGCUCGCGGCCGAUUAGG